AGUGAACGCUGGCGGUAGGCCUAACACAUGCAAGUCGAACGGCAGCACAGUAAGAGCUUGCUCUUACGGGUGGCGAGUGGCGGACGGGUGAGGAAUACAUCGGAAUCUACUUUUUCGUGGGGGAUAACGUAGGGAAACUUACGCUCAUACAGCAUACGACCUACGGGGGAAAGCAGGGGAUCUUCGGACCUUGCGCGAUUGAAUGAGCGGAUGUCGGAUUAGCUAGUUGGCUGGGUAAAGGCCCACCAAGGCGACGAUCCGUAGCUGGUCUGAGAGGAUGAUCGGCGACAUUGGAACUGGGACACGGACCAGACGCCUACGGGAGGCAGCAGUGGGGAAUAUUGGACAAUGGGCGCAAGCCUGAUCCAGCCAUACCGCGUCUGUUACGAAGGCGUCCGGGUUGUAAAGACCGUCUGUUGGGAAAGAACAGCAGCAGGUUAAGACGCCGCUGUUCUGACGGUACCCAAAGAAUAAGCACCGGCUAACUUCGUG
rnacentral:rRNA from 1 species